ensembl:lncRNA
GGAAAUGGCAAUCCACUCCAGUAUUAUUGCCUGGAAAAAUCCCAGGGACAGACAGGCCUGGUGGGCUAUAGUCCCAAAGUCUGAGACAUGCCUGAGCACGCAUGCUGCUACUACUAGUCAGCAUGAGCAGGUGGGAGUUACCAGUUGUGCUUUACUCUUCCAUGGCCUACCUCCGGGAGCAGAUGCCCUUGGUUGCCCCAUCCAUCCCCCUCCUCCGCUGGGCACUCCCCUUUGCUAGCACAUGCCUACACAGUUCUACUGGAAACCUUUGUGAUUCCCUCUUGAAAGCACUCUCUAGGUUCCAGCCCCUAACAACCAGAAGUGCCAUGGGCUGAUGCACCAGGAAACAACGUCAAGCAAAGAGAGAGGGGAAUGGGAGGAUAAAGUCACCUCUCCUGUGCUCCAGGAUAAAGUCACCGCUCCCGUGCCCCCGGGAACCAGGAGAUGCCACAUGUAAGGGAUGUCAUAUGAUAUUUCUCCUUCUCUGGCUCACUUUACUCGAGGUCAAGGGGCUGUCUAAUCCCCCAGGCUGAGCCUCAGGAGUCUGUUUUAGCAGGAAAGAAUGCCAGCUUUGCAUACCAGGAGCUGGAAGACUGGGCGAUGGAGCAGAGAGGCCAUGACCCUGGUGGAGCUGGAGGUGGGGAAGCUUCAGGACCUUGCUUGUCUGAUGGGUAUUUUCCAAGGGAGCUGCUUGGAAAAUGACCCGUGAAAAGUUCCUGGCUAUGUAAAAUUCUCCUAUCUGGAAAAGAAUUAACAAACUGUAAAACAACAACAAUGAUCCUUAAACUGAAGUGCUCACAGUGACUCAGGAGUCACUGGUUCAGAGGAUUCAGCUGAUUGAAUUAUUGCAUUCCCAAAGGACCUCAAGUCAGCAAAGCCAAGGUGUGUGUGCCCACUGAAGAUGCACAAACUUUAUUUCAGAACAGCUGAGCAUGUUGGAAGAUGUGUUCAUCAAGACCAUAUGCCCAGAUUGAAUCACCUUGGAGGAACUCGGCUUUAAUGAGUCAAUGGUAAAGGCUUGGCUGAAGAAUUGUUUCAUCAGAUGGAGGAAGUAGCAGCAAGACAGCUGCCACUGCCGCAAACUUGGCUAACGGGGCCUGGAGCUUCAGCUUCACGUGAUCCUGAUCUUCCUGAGACUGCUGGAGGUCCUGGUACCAUUUUGGGGGGAAUUUGUUAUGGGGUUACCAGCUUUAGGAAGUCUAAUGGACAAGUCCGGGGGCAUCCGACCCUCUCUGUACCAUAUGCCAC